rnacentral:rRNA from 1 species
UACGGGGGGGGCAAGCGUUGUUCGGAAUUACUGGGCGUAAAGGGCUCGUAGGCGGCCAACUAAGUCAGACGUGAAAUCCCUCGGCUUAACCGGGGAACUGCGUCUGAUACUGGAUGGCUUGAGUUUGGGAGAGGGAUGCGGAAUUCCAGGUGUAGCGGUGAAAUGCGUAGAUAUCUGGAGGAACACCGGUGGCGAAGGCGGCAUCCUGGACCAACACUGACGCUGAGGAGCGAAGCCAGGGAGCAAACAGG